UGUGUGUGUGUGUGAGACAUAUUGUCCUCUGUCUCUCCAGCGAACCCAGCUCCGGUCUGUGACUCUGUGAACGGCUGGCAGGCCUUCGGCUCUAACUGCUACAAGCGAAGGGCAGGCGUCCGGAAGAGCUGGGUGGCGGCUCGCAGCGACUGUGUCCGAGACGGAGGAGACCUGGUGUCAAUCACAUCUUCUGAAGAGGAGCAGUAUGUCACAAGCCGUCUGGACGCGUCCGCCUUUGACCUCUGGAUUGGCUUUUCCACAAUGAAAUGCACAACUUUAUCCUGUCAAAUACAACCAAAUGCCACGACUUUCUCCUGGUCUGAUGCAAGUACGUCCACAUACACAAACUGGCCGGCAGGACAGCCUGAUCUCACUGACAAAGCCAACGGUGUGUGUACUGCUAUGAUCAAAGAAUCAGGAGAGGAUUAUGGGAAAUGGAGAGCACACGUCUGUCGUUAUGAGCGACCUUACAUGUGCAAGAAAGCUU